UGAGCAAUCUGCCCUUCUCUUUGGAAUAAGCGUUGGAAACGACGUCUAAUGCCGAAUACGACCUCCUUUCGCAUGAUCGGAGGUGGAAAGCUCCGGCGGAGAAGGAUGAGCUCGCGGCCUAUCAGCUAGUUGGUGUGGGUAAUGGCCCACCAAGGCGACGACGGGUAGCCGGCCUGAGAGGGUGACCGGCCACACUGGGACUGAGACACGGCCCAGACUCCUACGGGAGCAG
rnacentral:rRNA from 1 species